AUUGAACGCUGGCGGCAGGCUUAACACAUGCAAGUCGAACGGUAACAGAAAGAAAGCUUGCUUUCUUUGCUGACGAGUGGCGGACGGGUGAGUAAUGCUUGGGAAUCUAGCUUAUGGAGGGGGAUAACUACGGGAAACUGUAGCUAAUACCGCGUAAUAUCGAGAGAUUAAAGGGUGGGACCGCAAGGCCACCUGCCAUGAGAUGAGCCCAAGUGGGAUUAGGUAGUUGGUGAGGUAAAGGCUCACCAAGCCGACGAUCUCUAGCUGGUCUGAGAGGAUGACCAGCCACACUGGAACUGAGACACGGUCCAGACUCCUACGGGAGGCAGCAGUGGGGAAUAUUGCACAAUGGGGGGAACCCUGAUGCAGCCAUGCCGCGUGAAUGAAGAAGGCCUUUCGGGUUGUAAAGUUCUUUUCGGUAGCGAGGAAGGCAUUUAGUUUAAUAGACUAGAUGAUUGACGUUAACUACCGAAGAAGC
rnacentral:rRNA from 1 species